rnacentral:lncRNA from 1 species
CUGGUUUAGUGGCACCGGUGUCGUCAUCGUCAUUGCUGAUAAUGAACAACAUAGGGUAAGAAGGGCGUUCUCGCGUGGAGAAGAGAAAGGGAGGAAUGAAGGAUUGAUGUUGUGGCAGGCUGCGUGUCGUCAUUGGAGGCGCUGUGGAUUGUGCAGGUGGAGGUUGGCCGUGGUCGUGAGCGGCAGGGUGGGUGUCGCUGGUCGUUACCUUCAAGAGAGGAGAAGGCCCUGUGUUUCUCUCGACAGCGCUUGGAAAAAAUGAAAGAGAAUUGGAGGAACCCCUGAUCAGUUUCUGUUAGGGUUAAGUGGCCUUGGGCCUGACUGAUGGGCUGUCUGUUCUUCCCUGCACCCCUCAUUCAUGUUUCAUACCCCUACUUCAAUUCUGCGAAAAAAAGAGAGGAAAAAGAGGCCUUGGGCAUGGUCAGCAAAAGAUCCAGUUACACACCCUGGUUUCAGUUUCUCCACACCCCUUCUGUCUGGCCCGCAUUCCUUCUGCCCGCCACCACUUGCAUUCCCAUUCGCACUCCCUUGCCAUUUCUGCAAACAAAAAAAGGCUUUGGGCUUGGGCAUUGUUUCUUCCUGCCGCCACGCGCACCCCUCCC